CCUACGGGCGGCAGCAGUGAGGAAUAUUGGUCAAUGGCCGGAAGGCUGAACCAGCCAAGCCGCGUGAAGGACGAAGGUGCCAAGCAUUGUAAACUUCUUUUGUCAAGGGACAAAAUCAGGCUCGAGAGCCUGACCGAGGGUACUUGAAGAAAAAGCAUCGGCUAACUCCGUGCCCGCAGCCGCGGUAAUACGGAGGAUGCGAGCGUUAUCCGGCUUUAUUGGGGUUAAAGGGUGCGUAGGCGGACUGUUAAGUCAGCGGUAAAAGCCCGGGGCUCAACCCCGGCGAGCCGUUGAAACUGGCUGGCUGGAGAUGUCGAGAGGUAUGCGGAAUGCGCGGUGUAGCGGUGAAAUGCUUAGAUAUUGCGCAGAAAUCCGAUUGCGAAGGCAGCAUACCGGCGCCCAACUGACGCUGAAGCACGAAAGCGUGGGUAUCGAACAGGAUUAGAUACCCGGGUAGUC
rnacentral:rRNA from 1 species